rnacentral:tRNA from 1 species
GCCACCCUAGCUCAAACGGCAGAGCAAGCGCUUCGUAAGCGUUAGGUUAAGAGUUCAACUCUCUUGGGUGGCUCCU